UUCAUAGAGUGUAAAGGCAUAAGGGAGCUUGACUGCGAGACCUACAAGUCGAGCAGGGUCGAAAGACGGACUUAGUGAUCCGGUGGUUCCGCAUGGAAGGGCCAUCGCUCAACGGAUAAAAGCUACCCCGGGGAUAACAGGCUUAUCUCCCCCAAGAGUUCACAUCGACGGGGAGGUUUGGCACCUCGAUGUCGGCUCAUCGCAUCCUGGGGCUGUAGUCGGUCCCAAGGGUUGGGCUGUUCGCCCAUUAAAGCGGUACGCGAGCUGGGUUCAGAACGUCGUGAGACAGUUCGGUCCCUAUCCGUCGUGGGCGUAGGAAAUUUGAGAGGAGCUGUCCUUAGUACGAGAGGACCGGGAUGGACAUACCUCUGGUGUACCAGUUGUCGUGCCAACGGCAUAGCUGGGUAGCUAUGUGUGGACGGGAUAAGUGCUGAAAGCAUCUAAGCAUGAAGCCCCCCUCAAGAUGAGAUUUCCCAACUUCGGUUAUAAGAUCCCUCAAAGAUGAUGAGGUUAAUAGGUUCGAGGUGGAAGCAUGGUGACAUGUGGAGCUG
rnacentral:rRNA from 1 species